UACGUAGGGUGCAAGCGUUGUCCGGAAUUAUUGGGCGUAAAGAGCUCGUAGGCGGUCUGUCGCGUCUGCUGUGAAAACUCGGGGCUUAACCCCGGGCCUGCAGUGGGUACGGGCAGACUAGAGUGCGGUAGGGGGAGACUGGAAUUCCUGGUGUAGCGGUGAAAUGCGCAGAUAUCAGGAGGAACACCGGUGGCGAAGGCGGGUCUCUGGGCAACAACUGACGCUGAGGAGCGAAAGCGUGGGGAGCGAACAGG
rnacentral:rRNA from 1 species